UGCUGAUGCGGGACGGAA
rnacentral:snRNA from 1 species